CCUACGGGAGGCAGCAGUGGGGAAUAUUGCGCAAUGGGCGAAAGCCUGACGCAGCGACGCCGCGUGAGUGAUGAAGGUCUUCGGAUCGUAAACCUCUGUCAGCAGGGAAGAACGGUCACUGUGCUAAUCAGCAGUGAAUUGACGGUACCUGCAAAGGAAGCACCGGCUAACUCCGUGCCAGCAGCCGCGGUAAUACGGAGGGUGCGAGCGUUAUUCGGAAUUACUGGGCGUAAAGCGCUCGUAGGCGGUAUGUCAAGUCAAGGGUGAAAGCCCCGCGCUCAACGUGGGAACUGCCUUGGAAACUGGCAAACUGGAGUGUGUGAGAGGAUAGUGGAAUUCCAGGUGUAGGAGUGAAAUCCGUAGAUAUCUGGAGGAACAUCAGUGGCGAAAGCGACUAUCUGGCACAUAACUGACGCUGAGGAGCGAAAGCGUGGGUAGCAAACAGGAUUAGAUACCCGGGUAGUC
rnacentral:rRNA from 1 species